AACUUUCGGCAAUGGAUCUCUUGGCUCCAGCAUCGAUGAAGAACGCAGCGAAAUGCGAUAACUAGUGUGAAUUGCAGAAUUCAGUGAAUCAUCGAGUCUUUGAACGCACAUUGCGCCCGCCGGCACUCCGGCGGGCAUGCCCGUCCGAGCGUCAUGUCAAAACCUCGAGCCCCCGCGCUCGGCGCUGGGGGACCGCCCGCCCGGGACGGCCUCCGAAAUCCAGUGGCGGCGGCGGCCUGGCCUCCUGCGCAGUAGCAACGCCUCGCAGAGCGACCCGGUCGGCGCCGGCCGUGAAACACCGACCCUUCAGUUUGACCUCGGAUCGGGUAGGGCUACCCGCUGAACUUAAGCAUAUCAAUAAGCGGAGGCU
rnacentral:misc_RNA from 1 species